GACGAACGCUGGCGGCGUGCUUAACACAUGCAAGUCGAACGCUGAAGCUUGGUGCUUGCACUGGGUGGAUGAGUGGCGAACGGGUGAGUAAUACGUGAGUAACCUGCCCUUGACUCUGGGAUAAGCCUGGGAAACUGGGUCUAAUACUGGAUACGACAUGUCACCGCAUGGUGGUGUGUGGAAAGGGUUUUACUGGUUUUGGAUGGGCUCACGGCCUAUCAGCUUGUUGGUGGGGUAAUGGCUCACCAAGGCGACGACGGGUAGCCGGCCUGAGAGGGUGACCGGCCACACUGGGACUGAGACACGGCCCAGAUUCCUACGGGAGGCAGCAGUGGGGAAUAUUGCACAAUGGGCGAAAGCCUGAUCCAGCGACGCCGCGUGAGGGAUGACGGCCUUCGGGUUGUAAACCUCUUUCAGCACGGAAGAAGCGAAAGUGACGGUACGUGCAGAAGAAGCGCCGGCUAACUACGUG
rnacentral:rRNA from 1 species